GAUGUCCAAGCUCAGUUGGUAGAGUAUUUGCCUCACAUGCACAAGGCCCUGAGUUCAAUCCCCAGUAUCA
rnacentral:tRNA from 1 species